GAUGAACGCUAGCGAUAGGCCUAACACAUGCAAGUCGAGGGGCAUCACAUGAAGUAGCAAUACGGAUGGUGGCGACCGGCGCACGGGUGAGUAACACGUAUGCAACCUGCCUUCAACAAGGGGAUAACCCGUUGAAAGACGGACUAAUACCCUAUAACACAGGGGUCCCGCAUGGGAAUAUUUGUUAAAGGACAACCGGUUGAAGAUGGGCAUGCGUUCCAUUAGCUAGUUGGCGGGGUAACGGCCCACCAAGGCAACGAUGGAUAGGGGAACUGAGAGGUUUAUCCCCCACACUGGUACUGAGACACGGACCAGACUCCUACGGGAGGCAGCAGUGAGGAAUAUUGGUCAAUGGACGCAAGUCUGAACCAGCCACGUCGCGUGAAGGAAGACGGCCCUACGGGUUGUAAACUUCUUUUAUACGGGAAUAAAGUGCCCCACGCGUGGGGUUUUGCAUGUACCGUAUGAAUAAGGAUCGGCUAACUCCGUGCCAGCAGCCGCGG
rnacentral:rRNA from 1 species